AGAACACCCUCUUCGUGUCUCUGGGAAGCCUCCCUAUUUUCUCAUAGUGAAGUGUCUGGGACAGUUCUCAGGUGACCCAGAGUCUGGAAACUGCACAGAGCAAGGAAAACAGGCAUGGUUCCUGUGGCUAAAAGCAAUUAGCCCUUCCUUAUCUAGGGGAACUUCAUGUUUUUGGUAGCUGGGGCUCACUAGCCUGAUCUAAGUAUCACCAGGUUCACAAAGAGAACUCUGCAGUGCCACCUCUUUCUGGAAGAGGAUCCUGAAGACAUUAAUUGUGAGAUACUUGAGAGCAAAUUUGAAGAAUUGGCUAAACGUUCCCUCUCCAGUCUCCAUCAAGUGCCCUGCAGGGAGACGUGAACACCCCAUGAGAAGAGGGUUCGACUAAGGAGCUGACACCAACUAGUCUCCAAACCCGAUGUGUCACCAACACGGAGAGGUGAAACGGACAAACAAGCAAAUAAACAGACAGAGCCCAACUAGGCA
rnacentral:lncRNA from 1 species